rnacentral:rRNA from 1 species
GACGAACGCUGGCGGCGUGCUUAACACAUGCAAGUCGAACGGUAAGGCCCUUCGGGGUACACGAGUGGCGAACGGGUGAGUAACACGUGGGUGAUCUGCCCUGCACUUCGGGAUAAGCCUGGGAAACUGGGUCUAAUACCGGAUAGGACCACUGCCUGCAUUGGUGGUGGUGGAAAGCUUUUGCGGUGUGGGAUGGGCCCGCGGCCUAUCAGCUUGUUGGUGGGGUGAUGGCCUACCAAGGCGACGACGGGUAGCCGGCCUGAGAGGGUGACCGGCCACACUGGGACUGAGAUACGGCCCAGACUCCUACGGGAGGCAGCAGUGGGGAAUAUCGCACAAUGGGCGCAAGCCUGAUGCAGCGACGCCGCGUGAGGGAUGACGGCAUUCGGGUUGUAAACCUCUUUCAGUAGGGACGAAGCGCAAGUGACGGUACCUACAGAAGAAGGACCGGCCAACUACGUGCCAGCAGCCGCCGUAA